rnacentral:lncRNA from 1 species
AUGACAAGUCCUGGCCCUAGUUCCAGGGUGCACAGUGGAAGUGUUUCUCCAUUGCAUCCGAGGUCUGGAGGGAUGGCACCUGAAUCUCCGACAGGUCGGAAUGAUGGUGGGAAGAAGAAGCAAACCCACAGAUUGCCUCUUCCACCACUGAGCAUCUCUAAUAGUUCAUUUUUUCCAAACAAGUCCACGCCAGCUAGUCCUAUUUCAGCGCCUCGUAGUCCUGGCCGAACAGAGAAUCCACCAAGUCCUGGAUCACGAUGGAAGAAGGGGAAGCUGAUUGGUCGUGGGACAUUUGGCCAUGUAUAUGUUGGCUUUAACAGGUAUAUGUUUUCCUACAUAUGGAACUUCAAAAUUUCAUUGUAUGACUUACUGUACAUAUACUUUAAGCAUGCUUAAGAGUUUUUCUGAGGUGCUUGCGUAACUUGUUCUAUUCUGGUUAUCUUGAUUUUCAGCAAGUUUUUCGUGUGUAUGGACUCUCAUAAUAUCUUGUUUUAUUUCAUAUUGUCUCGUACAACUUUAUUGUUAUUUCAGAGGUAUAGUCAUAUUUUAUGUGACAGUCACUGUAGCAGCUUGCUAUCUUUUCACUUUUAAGACUAGAUGUCUAGGGCGUUUACAUAUAUGGUGUGACAUGCACUGUUUCUAGCGAGGAGCUAAAAACUACUACUUCUGUUUGUCAAAGGAGGGCAUGACAUUUGUUCCGCUAAGAUCAAGGAGGGCUUGGGAGAAGCAGUUUUUUGGACCCUUUUACCCCUGGUAAAGCACACGUUUGAGCAGUUAUUAGCCCACAACACGAACACCCUUAAUCGUCUCUCUAGCCAUGCCACAGUUACUUGGUUCCCUCACGCCCUUGCACUGGCUGCUCCGCGCAUGCUCACCCACCACGCGCUUUGCAAACAGAAUGUGUCAGCCAAUGUGAGCGCAUUUGCUUCGUUUGGCACAUGCAAGACCAUGGAAUUUUCCAUUUAUGCAUGCAUGCGGGAUUUACUAUGAGAGAAACAAACCGCAAUAAAGGCUGGCACAGAAGCCGGAGAAUUCAGCCGCAGCUUAUUUAAUUUGGCGUGUCAAUGCACGGGCGUGUGACUUGGGGGUAUUUUUGGCAGGUUUAACGCAAAAUUAGUCCACUUCUUUCAGGGAAUUUUGGCAAAUAAAACUCAAUGCCCACCUUAAAGGAACGGAGGUAGUAGUAAAUAAAAUUCAUUCAAAUCAUGACCAUAUCUAACUUGCAUAAAGUCCGCGCCUAGUGGAUAUGAUUCUUAGGAUUGGACAUCCCUAGCACUGAAAGUUACCGUUUGCAGAAGAGCAGAUGAUAUUGAUAUCUUAUGUUAAUGGUAGACUCGCUUGCAUUCAGACUCAUAAGUCACUGGCGUGUUAAAGCAUGAUAUGGUAAGGAUAAGAGAAGUUAAUAUCCUUUUUGGGUUACUGAACACAAUUGUGACAAUUAUAUAGUUUAUGCGGCUUAAAUCUUCAUCUCUACUGCUAUAAAGAAACCAGUUGGUGGGCGAUGGUCCUUUCAACUUAGGGUUGUACCAAGUACCAACGGUCCAAUUUGCUACCAACGCCUAAGAUUAAAAUGGAAUCGCUCACCACCCACUUAAGUCUGUUUUGCAGAAACACCUCGAUCUACAAUGAAUUUCAUAGAUACUCCAAGCAACGCCCCACCUUAAUAAAUCAACUAGCCUCAGAAACAUGUUGUAUGUCUUUUUUUAUUCAGUGGCAUCACAUAGUUUCCUUGCUAGUACUAUAUGAUGACCGUUUGAUUAUUUUCAAAUCAUGUCUUGAUUCCUCACAGUCCUUUCCCCCUGUUUUGGUUUCACUAUCUAUACCAGUGAUAGCGGUGAAAUGUGUGCUAUGAAAGAGGUGACCCUAUUCUCGGAUGAUCCUAAAUCAAAGGAAAGUGCAAAGCAGUUGGGGCAGGUAUGGUUUUUAAAAUGUGCUUCCACCUAUACUAUGUCACUACCACAGCAGCAAAAGGAUCAGUUUAUUUUAUUAUUAUUUUCCAUUCAGUAUUUCAUUUAUUCUUUUCUUUCUCAGGAAAUAUCGCUCUUGAGCCGCUUACAACACCCAAAUAUCGUACGAUACUAUGGCACAGAAACGGUAUAAACUGUUGCCUUCAAUUGUUAUUUACUUGGUAUUCUUUGAUUUCUGGUUGGGCUGCUAUCUUUCCCUGUAAGUUCAGAGGAUUAUACCUGUAACUGUGUUGUUAUCAUGUUUGUACCUUUCUCCCUUUUUCAUGGGUGGCAAGAGAGUUUAUGAUAGCUUCUUGGGAUUUCAUUGAAGGCUACUUUAUGCGACACGUUUCAUUUUUGGGCAUGACUUUAUACAUUAUUUAUGCCGAAAACAGGUUGAUGACAAACUGUAUAUAUACUUGGAGUUUGUGUCUGGUGGAUCUAUCCAUAAACUUCUACAAGAGUAUGGACAGCUUGGUGAACCAGCAAUACGCAGCUACACUCAGCAGAUACUCUCAGGCUUAGCUUAUUUGCAUGCGAAGAAUACAGUCCAUAGGUAGCAUUCAGUUUGUUUUGGUUGCAUAUAUAUGGAAUUCUGGUGUACUGAAGUCAUGCUUACACAACAUGCAGGGAUAUCAAAGGUGCAAACAUACUAGUAGAUCCUAGCGGUCGUGUUAAGCUUGCAGACUUUGGAAUGGCUAAACAUGUAAGUUGUCUGGUCACAAAUGGCCUCUCUUAUACGGUAAUAAAUGUAUUUUACUAAUUAUGUUGUAUUAACUGUGUCUUAUUGUUCACCUUUUGGGGUACCUUCUGUCAGAUCAAUGGGCAGCAAUGUCCUUUCUCAUUUAAGGGUAGUCCAUAUUGGAUGGCUCCAGAGGUACUCUUGAAAAUAUUAUGCUCCUACAUUACUUUGUAUAUUUUCAUUUCAGUUCGAUGUGUAUCUUAUUUUCUUUUGGUUACAAAUUUAUACUUAACGCACAUGCAGGUUAUAAAGAGUUCGAAUGGUGGUUGCAAUCUUGCGGUUGACAUAUGGAGUUUAGGAUGCACUGUCCUGGAGAUGGCUACCGCAAAACCCCCAUGGAGCCAGUACGAAGGGGUCAGUAUUCUACCACAAAGAUGCACUUUAUAUUUGUUCCAGGGGCGAAUCUACUAGGGGGGCUUUAACAGGCUCAAGCCCCCCCUCCAGUGCUGUAAAAUUUGUAUUUACUACUAGUUUUAAGGCCCAGCCCAGCUACUUGCAGGCCCAAUCCAACACAUAUUUGCAUGACCCAGGCAGCCCAGCCCCCCCUCCAUUAUUUUCUAGAUUUGCCACUGAUUUGUUCUAUAAUAUCAGAUGGCCAAUGUGUGUCCAAGCUGCAUUUCUUACUUCAUCUGUGUUCCACACAUGCUGUUAAACUUCAAAAAUACCUUUCAAGUCGAUUAAACUAUGAGUUCAGCUUAAGAUUGACUUUCUGCUUCCUGCUAUUUGUUUCGGAUGACUGCUAUUUUGGAUUUUUUGAAUUUGACCGUGUCCUUGAAGCAUAUUUUCAAUUUACCUUAGAAUGAGCAAGCUGUCUGGAGUGAUGUGCAUACAUGUCAGUGAAAUAACCUUUCUCAAAUAAACUACCAAAUACUAGUACUGUGACAGGUGUAGUAUGUUAACCAUUUCCUGCACAUAUUGUCUGGUUUUCGCACCUUCUGCCAGAUAACAGGCCAUUUCUGUAAAAUUAUAUAUAAAACAUGGAAAAUUGCUGCAGACUGCUUCCUUCCUGAAACUCUGCCAGUUACCAACACAAGUGAACCAGCUACCCGUUUCUGUUACACUGAUACUAGGAGAUAGGCAAAGAGUUCCUUGGUUGUUUAAGAACUUAUGACUGUCUUGAUGUGGAAACUCCAAAAACACAUUUACUUGCAUGCAGUUUUAUGGAACAUUGAGAUGAUAAGGGCUUCCAUUUUUGGUUGGUCAUGAUAAGUAAGUAAUCAUCAAAUAUUUCCCUGCUUUUCUCACCAACAGAUUGCUGCAAUGUUCAAGAUUGGAAAUAGCAAGGAACUUCCACCAAUACCAGAUCACCUAUCAGAGCAGUGCAAGGACUUCAUCAGAAAGUGUCUGCAACGUGAUCCUUCUCAACGGCCGACAGCAAUGGAGCUUUUGCAACACCCGUUCAUACAAUAUAAAGUCCGACUUGAGAAAUCCGUUAUGUCUGAUCCUUUGGAACAUUUGCCCGUGAUAUCUUGUAGACCGAAUUCUAAGGUAACAAUACUUCUUUGUAACUGACAUAUCAGGGAUGACUCGGUGUCUUCUUUUGUCAUUCUCGUGGUCUUCUCACUUUGCUAGGCUUCUACUGAUCUUUUAGGUGGCUGGACAUACAACAAAUAUCUCGUCAUUGGGAUUGGAGGGUCAGACAAUUUACCAGAGAAGGGGUGCAAAAUAUUCUUCGAAGCAUAGGUACAACAUUUCCCAAGUUCUGCUUAUUUACUUCAGAAACACACACUGUCGUCCAAACGUUUUUGCAGUAAGCUAGUAACCCAUAACUAAAGCGUUAGCUAUGCAAAUUAAAGCCAUCCUACCUGGAACUUCUUUGUACCACCAGACAUCAUACAGUUUUCUACUGCCUAUAUCCUAAAAGGCUAUAGGUUACCAGAGAAGGGGUGCAAAAUAUUCCUCGAAGCAUAGGUACAACAUUUCCCAAGUUCUGCUUAUUUACUUCAGAAACACACACUGUCGUCCAAACGUUUUUGCAGUAAGCCAGUAACCCAUAACUAAAGCGUUAGCUAUGCAAAUUAAAGCCAUCCUACCUGGAACUUCUUUGUACCACCAGACAUCAUACAGUUUUCUACUGCCAAUAUCCUAAAAGGCUAUAGGUGACAGGGUCGCACCCUAAAUGUCAAAAACCCACUUUGGUGCACGUGCUCCAGUGAGCGCUAUAUUUUGAAUAGUUCCAAAAUGGUAUUUUGAUUAAAAAAACCUGGAAAAAGUUUUACAUGUUCAUAUGGAUGUACACUACACAUGUGCAAAUUUAUGUGAUGAAAUAAGUAACCAUGCUAGCCACACAAAAAUGACAAUUGCGAUUUUGGAAAGAUGAACAGGGCAUAUACUGUUCACUAUUUAGAAAUCACCAUUUUGACAUUUUGUGUAGCUUACAUGCUUACUUAUUUCAUCACCAAAAUGUACACAUAUGUAGUAUACAUCCAUAUGAACAUGUAGAUUGUUUUCGGAAAAUUUUGUAACUUUAAAAUGUAAUUUUUGAACUAUUCAAAAUAAAGUGCUCCAAUGCACCCGUCCUCCAAAAAUCCGCUUUCCCUAAAUGUGGACUAUUCAUUAAGCAGGCUAUAGGUUACCAGAGAGGAGGGGAGUGCCUAGUGCCUAGGUGCCCUCCUUUUAGUGCAGUUUUCUACAGCUAACCUCAUGCUUACUAGGAAAUUGAUUUCUGGUGAACUUUGUUUAUCUUUUGCAUGGAACCUCAUAUUGUUGUUUACUUUGCAGCGAUAUCCAUAUACGGAGCAAUAUAUCCUGUCCAGUUUCUCCAUGUGGAAGUCCUCUGCUAAGGUCAAGGUCUCCCCAACAUACAAAUGGCCGAAUGUCGCCAUCUCCAAUUUCAAGCCCCAGAACCCUUUCAGGCGCUUCUACUCCCCUGUCUGGUGGCAAUGGUGCUAUUCCCUUUAAUCAUUCAAAGCAACCAACCUACAGCAAUGAAGGAUUUGCAAUCGCAUCAAGAGGCCCAGAUGAUCACUUCCCCAACCGGCCUACAGACCGUAACCUUGGGCAGUUUGGUCGAGUGCAUCAAGUCUCACAGGGGGUUCAGGAGAGGAUAGUAUCUGAAGCUAACAUUCUGAGUCCUCAAUUUGGAAAGAGGCUUGGAAACGUUUUUGAUUUGCGUGAUAGACUGUCCCCUUCUGAACAUUUCACUCGUCCUGCCUUGGUGGAUCAUGUGAAGCCAAAUCCUUCACUAGACUUAACAACUGGUUCUCCCCACCAUGGACUCAAGCGUGAUAACUAACUAUCAAGGAUAGGCCAAGUGAAUUUUUUUGGAGCUUGGCAGGGUAACUAAGUGGUUUUCAGCUGCUUUGGCCAGUCAGUGGCUUGAAUUGUACUCCCUCCGUCCGGAAAUACUUGUCGGACAAAUGGAUGUAUCUAGAUGUAUUUUAGUUGUAGAUACAUCUAUUUCUAUCCAUUUCUCCGACAAGUAUUUUGGGACGGAGGGAGUAUCAUAAUAUGACUAUGGGAAAUAUCAUUGAUUUAUUUUGAAGCUAACAACUGUAGAUGGAUGGAGUCUUUGUUGUCAUCCCCACAGAUAGACAAAGGUAUGUCACAAUCUUACAGUUUUUAGUUUAUCGCCUGCGUUCAGUUACAUGAAACUAGGAUCUUUUGCACCUUCAAUGUUGUGUGAGCGGCUAACUGAACAUGGCUCAAAAUGUUCUCCUGAGCUUGUACAACUAUAGAGUUAGGAUUUUAAUGCAUGAUAAAGACACAAAUACACAAUUUCCUCUCUAAUAUUCUUACUUAUGAUGCCAGCCCCUACUGAUUAAUGACUUGUUUUAGUGCCCCAUCGUUUGCCAGAGUUAUGUGGUAAGUCAUGUGCAUCCGUAAAUAUAUGAACUGGAAAAUCCACACUUGAGCCUUUACUUUUUCAAGCAUCACACUUGAUUUCGGGACAUGAAGCUUGUCUUGACCAUAGUUCUUGCUAAUUUUGCUCUGUAUAUCGCAGCCCAUCCAUCCAUCCCUGUUAGGCGGAACAACUGGAUGUUGCAUACUACUACUGGCGUGCUAACAACAUGCGUCGAAAUGACAACUGUAUACUAGGAGACUGAAGAAGCCAGAGCAGUUGGCCACCUCCCUGCCUCUACAUGUUAAUUGCCCUUCUUGGCGUCCUGAUGCCAUUUGUACAGAAGUAAUCUCAAGUAAAAGCCAACCAAUAUUUUGCACAGGAGAAACAGUUGAGCCAAAUUCUUUUAACAGCUACCCGAGGUUGUGAAGCGACGGCUGCAAGUUACCAUGGAAACUCGUACAAAGAGCAUGGUCCCUAAUUAAAUUAGCUCUCCCGAUAUGUAUAAUUUCUCAUUCAGAUGUACCAUCCCAGUUGUUCAUAUUGAAUCGGUAUAUAUACAACUUGUCUGCGUUACUGACGGUAGCCGUAUGUAUUCCUCCAAGUUCCAUA